UGGAAACCCUCCCUGUGCAUUAUUCACCAACAACUGUGGUGGUGUGGGGGGAAAAUUCUAGAAGGCCUUUCAGACAGUGCAGACAAGUUUGUUAUGCCUGAAAACAUCCCUUGGUGUUAGAGCAGACAGCUGUUGUGUCAGCAGCUGCUCAGUGAUCACCCUUUCAGUAAAACUCUGAGGACUUCCCAGAAGCCUCAGCAGUAACCUCACAUUUCCCCCUCUUGAAGAAAUUGUGGCCAUGACCUGCAGUGUGAUAAAUUUCACCAGGAUCUGCGAGGCUGAGGAGGAUUUAAAUAAACAUGUGCACCAUGGGAAUGUGCGUUUGGCACGCUGCCCGCGAUGUUUUGGUCAGGGCAAAGAGGGUCAGAGCAUUAUUCUCCACACAGAACACAUGGUGUUCUCCAGGAGCACCAGGCAAAAAGGCAGACGAGGACUUCUCAGGGGCCUCUGGGGUAAUCUUUGCUCAAAGCUGCACAACAAAGACCUGCCAGGAAUGAUAUUUCAGUUCUAUAAAAGCCUUAAACGAAGCUACUGCUUUUCUACUUCCCCCAGACACUCCUUUUCACAGGCAGCUGAAAGGUCCUCCACAAGAAAACCCAAAUAUCUGCAGGAGCUCACAAAGAACAAUCUUCCCUGAUGCUUCACCUCGUAUGCAUUUGAAGAACUCAAGAUUUGCUGUGAUGGAACUUCUCGAAGAGAAAUAACAACUGGACUUCUGAGUUGCUUCUUGCUCUGAAGUGGUUCUUGUUCUUUCCUGGAGAUUUACCCAAACCCUUCAGUUGCAGAGGUUAAAAAUAUUAAAUGGAAGUGGAAACCCCUGCCAAUCCCAACAAUUUGGUUCUUAAGGGAAACACUAUUUCCAAUUUGGGUUCAAGCUUUUAUAAGUUCAGUUUGGGCUUUAAGGCAACUCUGAUCACUUUGUAACUGAAUCUUUUACCAAAACUAUUUGGGAUACUCAAGUGCUGACAUUUUUAAAUAGUUUCUCUAUAAUGACCAUCUUGUUUGUCAUUAAUUACCUGAAUUGCUGUUUCUGGCCAUUCACCUUCAAGCCUUUCCAAGCAUUAAACUCCUCCAUCUAUUGAUUAAUGUUAUUAAUUAUCCCAUAACCUUGUAGAUGGGUGUAAUUUCAUCAGAGUAAUGUGAAUCACCAGAGAGAGCUGCAGGGCUGGAUUCCACAUCACCAGAGUGUAAUUACAUCACUUAUUCUCCUUCCUGGUGCGUGGCUUGCUCAAACAGAGGUGCCAAGGCCUGACCUGGCACCCAGGGUCUGGUUUGGGUGGCAGAAUGGUUGGCUGAGUGAAAUUUGCACAGCAAAAUAAAUUUAUCUGAGGCCAGAAAUGGUGAUUGGAA
rnacentral:lncRNA from 1 species